ACAGAAAUACAUCUCUGUUUUGGUGGUAGGAUCAUGUUCAGAAACGUUGCUUAGGAAAACUGUGUGGGCAGAAGGGGAAGCCAAGCUGUCUUUUUGCUGUCUCAUUUUGAGGGAGGAAGAGCAGGCACUGAGCAAAGACAGGAAGAAGGUGCAGAUGGCAAGCAUGGAGUCAGCAUGCAUCUAUGCCGUGAGAGGACACCAGAGCUCUGUGCUUGCACAGGUGCAUCGCAUAUCCCAAGCGGUGGGAGCAUUUUGCACAUCUGGAAACAGUCCGUCAGCAUCUGAUUCUGAUUCUGAUGAUUCUGGUGCAGCAGAACACAUCCUGGUAUUGCCCUGAACUCCACAAUGGUCAUAGGGCUCAGCACUGCUCCCACCCGCAGCUCUCUGGAGGGGUUCCCCCAUUAACUGCAGUUCCUGCAGUGCACAUCAAGGUUUCAAAAAGUGAUUCAUUGCCCAAAAUGGGGAAGGGAUGCAGGGCUGCCUAAUUGCCACCCCGUGUGUAUGGCUGCUGUAAUGCAGCGGUGCUGCAGCUCUGGGAGCCCACAGUGCACUGCCUUUUCAGCCCAGCCUCACUGUGCAGCUCACAAGGAAAUGAAGCUGAGCCCAUCAGCAGAAGACUGAUGAACUAAAGAACAAGCUAACUAACAUUUAUAUCUGAUUUCUUCUGUCCUGCCCAGCAGCUGAAGGUGGACUCUGUGCAGGGUGUUUCUGCACCCACUGCACUAUGCACAAAGAUAUGUGUACACAGUGCACACCUGUAUAUAGAGAGACAGACAGGUGCAUGUAGGGAUAUGUACCCCUGCACUCACUUUCACAUGCACACAUCCACACAGACCUGUGCGGGCACCUUUGCAUGCAUGCAUUUCUAUGUCAGGAUUUAUGUGUGCACACACACAUACACGUGUGCAGCUAUGUGCAUAAACUGAGUAUAGAGGUAGCUGCCAUUGUAUAUGCAAACCACGUGUACAUGAGUGCAUAGGUACACACACACACGUGCACACACACAGAGAUGUAUAUACAUGUACACACACGCACACACACAGAGAUGCAUACACACGUACACACACACACAGAUGUAUAUACACGUACACACACACACAUGCACACACACAGAGAUGCAUAUACACGUGCACACACAUGUACACACACACACGUGCACACACACAGAGGUGUGUAUACACGUACACACACACAUGCACACACACAAAGAUGUAUAUACACGUACACACACACAUGCACGCACACAGAGAUGCAUAUACACGUGCACACACAUGUACACACACACACGUGCACGCA